GACAGAGGGGGCAAGCGUUGCUCGGAAUCACUGGGCGUAAAGGGCGCGUAGGCGGUCUUGCAAGUCCCGUGUGAAAUCCCUCGGCUCAACUGAGGAACUGCACGGGAAACUGUUUGGCUUGAGUUCGGGAGAGGGAAGCGGAAUUCCGGGUGUAGCGGUGAAAUGCGUAGAUAUCCGGAGGAACACCGGUGGCGAAGGCGGCUUCCUGGACCGACACUGACGCUGAGGCGCGAAAGCUAGGGGAGCAAACGGG
rnacentral:rRNA from 1 species